AAACAUGACUUUGAUCUGCGUCCUCAUCUGGACUCUCCUCUGCUGCUGCUUCACAGAGUCCAGAGGACAGAUCACAGUGACUCAGCCUGGAGCAGUGAGCUCUGCUGUGGGAGGAUCUGUGAGCAUCAAGUGUACGACCAGUCAGAAUGUUUAUAACAACAACUAUUUAGCCUGGUACCAACAGAAAGAUGAAGGAGUUCCUAAACUGCUCAUUUACCUUGCUAGCACUCGACAAUCAGGGAUUCCAGAUCGUUUUACAGGCAGUGGAUCAAACUCUGACUUCACUCUGACCAUCAGUGGAGUCCAGGCUGAAGAUGCAGCAGUUUAUUACUGUCAGAGUCUUCACUAUCCUAACAGUCAGUGGGUGUGCACACAGUGAAAAACAGUCGUACAAAAACCUCCCUCAGUCAGACUGAACAGAAACUGAACUGACUGCUGCAGCUGGAAGAUACUGCAGAGACUGAUACAGUUCACUGAGGACACACACACACACACACACACACACACACACACACACACUGUAGAUCUCUUAAACAAAUACCAUCAUUUUUUGCAUAGCAAGGAAAAGCUGGAGAAAGUCGCGAGAAACAUUCUCUCAUCUUGCAAAAAUUUAUUUCUCUGAAAUGAAGCUGACAAAACCAUGAUGUGUACGAUUAUGAUAAAGAAAGCUGAGCAGUGUAUUGAAAAAAGCUUGGCUAUGAACUUUGAGCUUAGCUUGAAAAUAGAUCUGUGAAGGUUCUCAGUCAUCCAGGUCCUCGUACUCUAAGGAGCCACCAAACCUACAAAAUGUCUUGGGGGCAAGACAUCAUUCCCUCUCACCUACUCAAGGAUGUUCUUGACAGUGUGGAAAUAAGUGUGCAGUCAGUUAUUAAUACUAGCCUUCUAUCUGGGUGUGUUUCUAAAUAUUUUGAACAUGCUGUAGUGGAGAUUGAUUUCUAAACUGGUCUUUAUGUCAAAGAUGAGAAAAAAAAAACAUUUUUUCAGCUUUUAGCUAGUGGAGUACAAACCUAAUUGCAAAACCACUGUGUAAAAUAACAAAAUGAUUCAUACAAUUUGUAUUUAUUUGUGUUCAUGAGUUCAUUAACAAAAUGUCAGAUUUUCCACUCUGAUAACUCAGUCAGUGUAAUGUACUAUAGUCCAUGUAUAGCUCGUGUGUUUUAAAGGAGAUGGGAGCUGCUAUGAAAUCACAACAGAGGGAUAUUUUAUGGAAGCAGAGAGUCUGUGCUCCCUAACUUCUGUACAUGUUCAUGCAUUAACUUGUUCAUCAGAGUACUGAGAUAAUAAUAAUCAUGAUAAUGCCAUACUUGUAUCUGUACUGAAUUCUGCUGUACUGAGUAGUUUUUUGGGAAUGUUUAAUAAAUUACAAGAUAUUCAAAAUG